UGCAGAUGAUGUAAAAGAAUAUUUGCUAUCAGAAAAGCGGUGAUGACAUUAUAACCACCAAGAUCGCUGAUGCA